rnacentral:misc_RNA from 1 species
UGGCUCUCGCAUCGAUGAAGAACGCAGCGAAAUGCGAUAAGUAAUGUGAAUUGCAGAAUUCAGUGAAUCAUCGAAUCUUUGAACGCACCUUGCGCCCUUUGGUAUUCCGAGGGGCAUGCCUGUUUGAGUGUCUUGAAAUCAUCAAGCCCUCGGCGCUCGUCGCCGCUGGGCUUGGACUUGGGGGUUCGUUGCUGCCGCUCGCGGUUGGCUCCCCCUAAAUGAAUCGGUCGGGCUAUCGUGUGCCGUCCACGGGCGUUGUAUUACCCUCGUCCUAGGUUGGCGCUCGACUUUGAAGGCCCUUCCUCGACCUGCCUCUGGAGUGGCGGUCAAAGGCGCUCGUCGCCGCUUUGUGAUCUGACCUCAAGUCAGGUAGGACUACCCGCUGA